AUUCUUUUAGUAUAUUAAGUAUUUAAGAUUUCCAAUCUUUAGGUCUGCAUAAAUCAGAAAGAAUA
rnacentral:tRNA from 1 species